AACCUUAUGGACCUGCGGGCGUAUACCUGCGGAGGGAUCAUUACAGAGUUAUCCAACUCCCAAACCCAUGUGAACUUAUCCCUUUGUUGCCUCGGCGCAAGCUACCCGGGACCCCGCGCCCCGGGCGGCCCGCCGGCGGACAAACCAAAACUCUUGUUAUCUUAGUUGAUUCUCUGAGCGUCUUAUUUAAUAAGUCAAAACUUUCAACAACGGAUCU
rnacentral:misc_RNA from 1 species